rnacentral:rRNA from 1 species
UACGGAGGGUGCGAGCGUUAAUCGGAAUAACUGGGCGUAAAGGGUACGCAGGCGGAUUUUUAAGUCAGGGGUGAAAUCCCCGGGCUUAAACUGGGAACAGCAUUUCAGACUGGGAGUCUAGAAGACUUUAGGGAGGGGUAGAAUUCCACGUGUAGCGGUGAAAUUCGUAGAUAUGUGGAGGAAUACCGAAGGCGAAGGCAGCCCCUUGGGAAAGUACUGACGCUCAGGUGCGAAAGCGUGGGGAGCAAACAGG